GGUUCUAAAAGGGUUCUAAAUUUAACAUCCGGUUCCAGCGAACCAGUGUGAACUGGCUCCAGCUCACCACUGCCUUUACAUUGCUGUUC